GAUGAACGCUGGCGGCGUGCCUAAUACAUGCAAGUCGAGCGAACAGACGAGGAGCUUGCUCCUCUGACGUUAGCGGCGGACGGGUGAGUAACACGUGGAUAACCUACCUAUAAGACUGGGAUAACUUCGGGAAACCGGAGCUAAUACCGGAUAAUAUAUUGAACCACAUGGUUCAAUAGUGAAAGACGGUUUUGCUGUCACUUAUAGAUGGAUCCGCGCCGCAUUAGCUAGUUGGUAAGGUAACGGCUUACCAAGGCAACGAUGCGUAGCCGACCUGAGAGGGUGAUCGGCCACACUGGAACUGAGACACGGUCCAGACUCCUACGGGAGGCAGCAGUAGGGAAUCUUCCGCAAUGGGCGAAAGCCUGACGGAGCAACGCCGCGUGAAUGAUGAAGGUCUUCGGAUCGUAAAACUCUGUUAUUAGGGAAGAACAAAUGUGUAAGUAACUAUGCACGUCUUGACGGUACCUAAUCAGAAAGCCACGGCUAACUACGUG
rnacentral:rRNA from 1 species